GAUGAACGCUGGCGGCGUGCCUAAUACAUGCAAGUCGAGCGAACGGACGAGAAGCUUGCUUUUCUGAUGUUAGCGGCGGACGGGUGAGUAACACGAGGAUAACCUACCUAUAAGACUGGGAUAACUUCGGGAAACCGGAGCUAAUACCGGAUAAUAUUUUGAACCGCAUGGUUCAAAAGUGAAAGACGGUCUUGCUGUCACUUAUAGAUGGAUCCGCGCUGCAUUAGCUAGUUGGUAAGGUAACGGCUUACCAAGGCAACGAUGCAUAGCCGACCUGAGAGGGUGAUCGGCCACACUGGAACUGAGACACGGUCCAGACUCCUACGGGAGGCUGCAGUAGGGAAUCUUCCGCAAUGGGCGAAAGCCUGACGGAGCAACGCCGCGUGAGUGAUGAAGGUCUUCGGAUCGUAAAACUCUGUUAUUAGGGAAGAACAUAUGUGUAAGUAACUGUGCACAUCUUGACGGUACCUAAUCAGAAAGCCACGGCUAACUACGUG
rnacentral:rRNA from 1 species